ensembl:lncRNA
UGACAGUCACCACUGAUAACCUACUCCUAAAUAUUGUAGAAACUUAAUUUUCUGUAAAGCUGAUUUUUAAUGAUUUGUAUCGUAAAAAGCGCUAUACAAAUAAACUUGAAUUGAAUUGAAUUAAAUUGAAUUACAAUUACAACAUUAUGUUCCUCACCUGAAUCUCGUAUGCAAGGCUUUCUUGUGAAAACAAUAACGUUUGGAUAAGUGUUCAGAUUAAAUAUAUUCCACUGUAUCAGUAAGAAGGUAAACCGAUUAACCAAAUAGAAUAUUAAUAAAAAUUUAUUGUUGCUCUACAUGGACGUCAACACGGACAGAUUACACUAAUUUGCAUAGGCAAAAUUAAACUGCAAAAACUCGGACAUAAGACAAAAACAAAGGGACAACUGGAAGAUGAAUAAAAACAUUAACUGGAGUGUGAGAACCAUGUUACUAUGCUGCAGUGUCGCAAGACAUUUGUCCUUUUUUGCUUUCCGUACAUCCAGUUGUGUUUUGGUGUAUUUGUAUAAUGCAAGGUUGCCAAAUUCACAGUCUUUUUUCCGCGGAAUUGGGCUACUUUGGGGAAAUGUUUUGUCGGGUUUAUUACGCAGUCACCAUGCGUUUAUUACGCUUCGUAGAGGGGGGACGGGAAUUCCAGAGGGGAACGGAAUCGACUGCUACACCUGUCUAUAUUUAAAACAUUGUACGUGCUGUCAUCUAGAUUACAUAUUAAUAUUUGGAAAUGAUAUAUAUAUAUAUAUAGUUUUAUGGUCAGUCUCACAAACACUAAUUUGCCGUUAUAUAGCAUUCAAAUAGCAAAUGUGUCUUAAUAUUUUCCCAUAACAUAACAUAUUUUCGCGACUGAUAUCCUGCUAGCUUGGCAAGCUAACGUCAAAUAACAGCAAUCCUCGGCAAAACACAAUAGAACUCGAUGCUUAAACCAGGGAUCGAUUUAACGUAACUAAUAUAUUGCGAUUUAUCUGAAUUAAACUUUUGCGCAUUCGAGACUUACAAAGUGGCGUUGAAAUCCUUUGUCCCAGCCAAAAAACAAUUAUCAAAACAACGUACGCAGCUGCGUUCAGCAAAAUCAGUGCUGUCAGAUUGGAGAAUGAAUCAUUCUUUUGAAUCGGAUCUUUUCAAUGAAACACAUCGUCGGUUCGUCAUCAACAUACUACGAUGCGACUUCUUUAUGUGAAAUAGAUGGACCAGUGUGCGCUUUUGUGAAAUUUAGCUACAUUUAACCGGGGACUGUCUUGCAGACAUGUCUGACUCCUAAAGGAGCUGAAAUCCGAUUGAGUGCUGACAGUAAGACUAAUUGGAAUUAAACGAAAAAAGAAAAGAAAAUAAAUUAAUGGGUCAAGUAAAUGUAGUACUUAAA